rnacentral:rRNA from 1 species
UACAGAGGGGGCAAGCGUUAUUCGGAAUUAUUGGGCGUAAAGGGCGCGUAGGCGGCCGUGCAAGUGGAAGGUGAAAUCCCUCGGCUCAACCGAGGAACUGCCUUUCAAACUGCAUGGCUUGAGUCCGGGAGAGGUGAGUGGAAUUCCCAGUGUAGCGGUGAAAUGCGUAGAUAUUGGGAGGAACACCAGUGGCGAAGGCGGCUCACUGGACCGGAACUGACGCUGAGGCGCGAAAGCGUGGGGAGCAAACGGGG